rnacentral:misc_RNA from 1 species
GAUGAAGAACGUAGCGAAAUGCGAUAAGUAAUGUGAAUUGCAGAAUUCAGUGAAUCAUCGAAUCUUUGAACGCACCUUGCGCCCGCCAGUAUUCUGGCGGGCAUGCCUGUUCGAGCGUCAUUUCAACCAUCAAGCCCCGGGCCUGUGUUGGGGAUCUGCGGCUGCCCGCAGGCCCUGAAAACCAGUGGCGGGCUCGCUGUCACUCCGAGCGUAGUAGCACUCGUAUCUCGCUCAGGGCGUGCCGCGGGCUCCGGCCGUUAAACCGCCUCUUUAGCACCCAAAGGUUGACCUCGGAUCAGGUAGGAGGACCCGCUGAACUUAAGCAUAUCAUAAGCGGAGGA